ACCUAAGGCCUAACCCUAAUGCUAACCCUAGCCCUAGAAAUAACACUAACAGUCGUAUGCACAGGGUAAUACUAAGGUUAUCCAAAUAAAAAAAACAUACCUAACCCCUUAAGUAGUCCUAACCCUAACCAUCAUACUCACAUGCCAAUAAUCAGGUAUUUGAAUUUCAACCAUGUCCCUAACCCUUACCAUAACCCCAAUAUUACCCCAAACCCAAACCAUAACACUACACAUCAUAGCUGCACUCCAAUGCUCAGGUUCUUGAAAUCAAACAACGUGCCUCACCAUAAUACUAACCCUAACUCUAAUCUUCAUACUCACACUACAACCAUCAGGUACUUGAACUCUAAAUAUAUCCAUAAACAUAAACCUAACACUAACCCAAAAACUAACCAUGAUACCCACACUGCAAUAUUCAGGUAUGUGAAUGCCAACACUAUAUUAAACUCUUACAAUAACACAAACCCUAAGCCCAACAAUAAAACCCAAACUCCAAAGCUGAGGCACAUGAAUUUGAAUCCUAAACCUCAUCCUAAAACUAACUCUUACCCUAACUCUAACCCUCAUAGCCACAAUCCAAUAUCAAGGUACUUGGAUUUCAACACUAUCUCUAACCAUAAUCCUAAAACUAACAUUAACACUAAAUUUCAAAACCACAUUGCAAAAGACAGAUUCUUACAUUUUUUUUGUACCAGGAUCUAACGCAAGACCUUGUGCUUGCGAGGAUUAAAUUCUGACACUAUUCCUACACCUAACCCUAACCUUAACCCUAACACUAACGAAUAUAGCCACACUGAAAUGCUUACUUAUAGAAAUCCAACAAGACACCAAUCACUAACACUAACCCUACCUCUGACCAUCACGCUCACACUCAAAUAAUCAGGUACUUUAAUUCCAACACUAUCCUUAACACUAACACUGACCCUAACACUAACAGUAAUAGCCAUACCCAAAUACUCAAGUACCUGAAUUCCAACACUAUCUGUAAGCCAUAUCCUAACACAAACCUAAAAACAUUCACACCCACACUCCAAACCUCAGGUAUAUGAAUUUGAACACUGAAUGUAACCCUAAACCUAACCCUAUCCAUAACCAACAUAUCCACAAUCCAAUACACAGGUAGUUGAAUUUGUACACUAGCCCUUACAUCAAGCCUAAAAUCAAUGCUAAUAUUGUCAAACUCACCCCAAUAACAGGUACUUAAAUUCCAAGAUUAUCAGGUACCAUAACCCAAACCUUAACCCUAACCCUAAUACUAUCAGUAAUAGCCACAGUGCAUUACUGAAGAUCUUCAAAUCCAACAAUAUACCUAACCCUAACACUAAUCCUAACCCUACCCAUCACACUCACACUCCAAUAUCAGGUACUUGAAUUCCAAUCAUAUCCUGAACCCCAAACCUAACCUUAACCCUAAUUCUAACACUACACAUCAUAGCCACAUUGCAAUGCUCAGGUACUUGAAAUCCAACAGUGUACCUCACCCUAAAACUAAAUCUACCCCUAAGCAUCAUACUCACAUACAGGCUUGAAUUCCAAGACUAUCACUUACCCCAACAUCAACCCUAACCCUAAACCUAUCACUAACUCUAGACCUAACACUAACACUAAGCAUGAUUAUCACACUCCAAUAGUCAGGUGUCUGAAUGCCAGUACUAUCUGAAACUCUUACAAGAACAUGAACCCUAACCUUAGCAAUCAAACCUACAUUCCAAAACUGAGGUACAUAUAUUUGAACCCUAAACCUAACCCUAAACAUAGCCCUAACCCUAACUAUCACCCUCAUAUCCACAGCCAGUAGCCAGGUACUUGUAUUUUACACUAUCCCUAACCCCAUUCCUAAAAACUAAUGUUAACACUAACUUUCAAAACCACACUUGAAUACACAGAUUCUGAAAUUCUGAUAUUCCUAACCCUAACCUUAACCCUAACCCUAUCACUACCUGUCAUAGCCACACUGAAUUGCUCACAUAUUGAAAUCCAACAGGAUACCCAUCCCUAACAUGAAAGCUAACCCUGAGCAUCAUGCUCACACUCAAAUAAUCAGGUAUUUGAAUUCCUACAUUAUCCUUAACCCUAACACUGAUACUAACACUAACCAUAAUACCCACACUUCAAUAGUCUGUUAACUGAAUUCCAAGACUAUUUGUAACUUUUACCCUAACAUGAAACCCAAAACUAACAUUCAUACCCACACUCAAAAACUCAGGUAUAUGACUUUGAACCCUAAAGCUAACUCUAAAGCUAACCCUAAUCCUAACCAUCAUAUCCACAAUCCAAUACACAGGUAGUUGAAUUCCUACACUAUCCCUAACCCUAACUGUAAAACUAACUCUAAUACUAACCAUCAAAGCCACACUCCAAUACAAAGGUUCUUGAAAUACAACAUAGUAACUCACCCUAACACUACACCUAACACUAACAUUUGUACUCAAACUUAAAUAAUCAGGUAUUUGAAAUCCAAACAGACCCCUUACCCUAACUCUAACCUUAACCAUAACUCUAACCCUAAUACUAAACAUACUUCACAUACUCCAAUAGUCUGGUUCCAGAAUUCCAACACUGUUACACUUACCCUAACAUGAUCUCAAAAACAAAUAUUCAUAUCUACAAUCCAAAACUCAGCUACAAAAAUUUGAACCCUAUAAUGAACCUGAAACCUAACCAUAAUAAUUACACUCACACUCCAAAACACAGAAACUUAAAUUCCAAGACUAUUACUUAAACCAAAAGCAAGCCCUAACUGUAAUCCUAACCCAAACCCUAGCC
rnacentral:lncRNA from 1 species